rnacentral:rRNA from 1 species
GACGAACGCUGGCGGCGUGCUUAACACAUGCAAGUCGAACGGAAAGGCCCUGCUUGCAGGGUACUCGAGUGGCGAACGGGUGAGUAACACGUGGGUGAUCUGCCCUGCACUUCGGGAUAAGCCUGGGAAACUGGGUCUAAUACCGGAUAGGAGCCCUCCUUAGGGUGAUGGUUGGAAAGUUUUUUCGGUGUGGGAUGAGCUCGCGGCCUAUCAGCUUGUUGGUGGGGUAAUGGCCUACCUAGGCGGCGACGGGUAGCCGGCCUGAGAGGGUGGACGGCCACAUUGGGACUGGGAUACGGGCCAGACUCCUACGGGGGGCAGCAGUGGGGGAUAUUGCACAAUGGGGGCGAGCCUGAUGCAGCGACGCCGCGUGGGGGGUGAAGGGCUUUGGGUUGUAAACUCCUUUCGCUAGGGACGAAGCUUUUUGUGACGGUACCUAGAUAAGAAGCACCGGCUAACUACGUG